GUUGUGGUGUUUACGGUUGUCGG
rnacentral:miRNA from 1 species